GAUGAACGCUGGCGGCGUGCCUAAUACAUGCAAGUCGAGCGAAUGGAUUAAGAGCUUGCUCUUAUGAAGUUAGCGGCGGACGGGUGAGUAACACGUGGGUAACCUGCCCAUAAGACUGGGAUAACUCCGGGAAGCCGGGGCUAAUACCGGAUAAUAUUUUGAACUGCAUGGUUCAAAAUUGAAAGGCGGCUUCGGCUGUCACUUAUGGAUGGACCCGCGUUGCAUUAGCUAGUUGGUGAGGUAACGGCUCACCAAGGCAACGAUGCGUAGCCGACCUGGGAGGGUGAUCGGCCAAGCUGGGACUGAGACACGGCCCAGACUCCUACGGGAGGCGGCAGUAGGGAAUCUUCCGCAAUGGACGAAAGUCUGACGGAGCAACGCCGCGUGAGUGAUGAAGGCUUUCGGGUCGUAAAACUCUGUUGUUAGGGAAGAACAAGUGCUAGUUGAAUAAGCUGGCACCUUGACGGUACCUAACCAGAAAGCCACGGCUAACUACGUGCCAGCAGCCGCCGUAA
rnacentral:rRNA from 1 species